UUCCAAUCGAACCCGGAGAUAGCUGGUUCUCCUCGAAAUAGCUUUAGGGCUAGCCUCGUAUUAGUUUAGCGGAGGUAGAGCACUGAAUUCCUAAGGGGGCGUCAAAGCUUACCAAGGGAUAUCAAACUCCGAAUGCCGCAUAAAUGAUGUACGGGAGUCAGACUGCACGAGAUAAGUUGGGCAGUCAAAAGGGAAAGAGCCCAGACCUACAGCUAAGGUCCCAAAGUGUGUGUUAAGUGGAAAAGGAUGUGGGAUUUCGAAGACAACUAGGAUGUUGGCUCAGAAGCAGCCACACAUUAAAAGAGUGCGUAAUAGCUCACUAGUCGAGAGGUCCUGCGCCGAAAAUGUCCGGGGCUGAAACACAACACCGAAGCUUAGGAAUGUAGUAAUACAUUGGUAGAGGAGCAUUCUUAAAGGAAUGAAGCAGUACCGAUAAGGAGCUGUGGACUUUUAAGAAGAGAGAAUGCCGGAAUGAGUAGCGAGAUGGAGGUGGGAAUCCUCCAGGCCGAAUAUCUAAGGUUUCCAGAGUAAAGCUGAUCUGCUCUGGGUAAGUCGGGGCCUAAGGAGAGGUCGAAAGACGUAUCCGAUGGACAACAGGUUUAGAUUCCUGUACCACAUAUAAACAGAACUGUGGGGACGCAUGUGGAAAGCAUAAGCCGGGAAUGGAAAUACCGGUACAAACGGAAGAGGUGUCAGGCUGGCAAAUCCGCCUGGCAAGCCAAAGACGUGAUGUGGAGCGAAAUAAAAGUAGCGAAGUAUGUGAGCCAUGUGCCGAGAAAAGCCGCUAUUGUUUUAUAUGUGCCCGUACCGUAAACCGACACAGGUGGAUGAGGAGAGAAUCCUAAGGCCGACGGAAGAAGCAUUGUUAAGGAACUCGGCAAAAUGACCCCGUAACUUCGGGAGAAGGGGUGCCCACUUCAGGGUGGGCCGCAGAGAAUAGGCUCAAGCAACUGUUUAGCAAAAACACAGGUCUAUGCGAAACCGUAAGGUGAAGUAUAUGGGCUGACGCCUGCCCGGUGCUGGAAGGUUAAGAGGAGAGGUUAGUCGCAAGAUGAAGCUUUGAAUUUAAGCCCCAGUAAACGGCGGCCGUAACUAUAACGGUCCUAAGGUAGCGAAAUUCCUUGUCGGGUAAGUUCCGACCCGCACGAAAGGCGUAAUGAUUUGAGCACUGUCUCGACAAUGCAUCCGGUGAAAUUGAAGUACCAGUGAAGAUGCUGGUUACCCGCGCCAGGACGGAAAGACCCCAUGGAGCUUUACUCCAGUUUGGUACUGGGAUUCGGUACUGCAUGUACAGGAUAGGUGGGAGACUGAGAAAUUGGAACGCCAGUUUCAAUGGAGUCACUGUUGGGAUACCACCCCUGCAGUAUUGGGUUUCUAACCAGCCGCUGUGAUCCAGCGGUGGGACAAUGCCAGGCGGGGAGUUUGACUGGGGCGGUCGCCUCCGAAAGGGUAUCGGAGGCGCUCAAAGGUUCCCUCAGAAUGGUUGGAAACCAUUCGAAGAGUGCAAAGGCAGAAGGGAGCUUGACUGCGACACCGACGGGUGGAGCAGGUACGAAAGUAGGACUUAGUGAUCCGGUGGCAUAAAGUGGGAUUGCCAUCGCUCAACGGAUAAAAGCUACCCUGGGGAUAACAGGCUU
rnacentral:rRNA from 1 species